rnacentral:rRNA from 1 species
UACGUAGGGGGCAAGCGUUGUCCGGAAUCAUUGGGCGUAAAGAGCGUGUAGGCGGUUCGGUAAGUCGGCUGUGAAAGUCCAGGGCUCAACCCUGGGAUGCCGGUCGAUACUGCCGGACUAGAGUUCGGAAGAGGCGGGUGGAAUUCCCGGUGUAGCGGUGAAAUGCGCAGAUAUCGGGAGGAACACCUAUGGCGAAGGCAGCUCGCUGGGACGUUACUGACGCUGAGACGCGAAAGCGUGGGGAGCAAACAGG